UAUGGUCAUAUCAUGUCAAAACACCUGUUCUCAUAUGAUCACCAAAGUUAAGCGAUGUCAAGCUUGGUCACUACCUAGAUAGGUAACUGCUUGGGAAAUACCAAGUGCUGUAAG